AACUUUAUGAACAUGGAUUUCAGUUCACAUUAUUUUGUCGGUAAGAAGUUCAAAAUGUCGCGUAUGUUAUAUUUUAGCAAUUACUCCAAACUGUUAGUUGUUGGUUUUUUUUAUUAAUGCUUUCCCUUCUUCCAUACAAUAUAAAUCCCUUUUGGUCAUUGGUUAUCAAUACAUGAAAAAUAAAUUCAUAAUCUUGGCAGUCAGAGCUGAAUCAUAUGUAGUUUUUGUCUAAGGGAUAUGGCAGCUGAUGCUAGAAAGAAAAGAAGUGCUAUUUGGUAAUUUACAUACUCUAUGCAUGUUGCACCUCACACUAAAUUUUACCUUCUAAUUAUAAAAGUCCAUAAAGUAAGCAUCUUCAUGAUUCAUCUUAGUAGUAAAUAACUAAGUUAACCAUGUAUUAAAUCAGUAAAGAAAAUCACAACAAUAUGGCUUUUCAUUCCCUGGCUGCUAAUCCUACAUCUACAACCAUUCUUAAUUUUUCUUUCCUUUUGUUCUUCUGCCUACCACCCUUUCAUAGAGUUUGGAAAGCUCAACUUUAGGCCCCAACAUGUUAACGUGCUCCUAUUACAAUUUGCUCCCCGUAGACCAUUCUUGCAAGUCGCAUCGCCCUUGCCGAUAGAGCAGUACCUAAGGCAAGGCUAGAGCCAGAAAUCAAGUUGUCUUUGCCUAUUGCUCGAUCAAACUAACCUCUUCUCUCCUCCUAUCAACACCACAUUAGCACUUUAGUUGCCACUUCUUUGCGGCAUACAUGUUGACAUCUCUGCCUGUUCAGGUAUUUAAUAAUAAAAGUCUAUAUUACGAAAAACUAUCCCUUCUUUAAAUUUAAGUUCAGUACUAAUACAUCCUAUUUUAUAUUAUCAUUUUCUGAAGGACUACCUCCUAGGACAACAACAACUCAAGUUUCCUUUGGAUAUAAAAAAGAAUUCAAUUGUUCCUGGUAAGAAAUUCUUUUACUAUCGUAUUAAUGGUUUUAUUAUGUAAUAAAUAACAUGCACAAAUCAAUAUUUCAUUGUUACUUCUCAUAAAUUUAUAUAAUUUGUGAUAUACAUCUUCAUCAAGAUAUUCUUUUAAACACAUUUUUGAAUUUCUGUCCUUAUGUUUUUACAAUUUUGCGCGUCUUAACUUAAAAUAUAUCAUUCUGUCAAGGCUUUCAUUCUCCCACUUCCAUGAGAAUAUACUAUCGAAGUUUGAGAAUCUGCAAUUUGAAAAACUAACUUUCCAGUAAGUUUGAAGAAUUUUAUACUAGAAAACUAUGUUUGAUUAAGUUAUGUACUAACUAUUAAGCGAACAACCUAUAAUUCUUGACACAAAGGAAGGACAAAAAUACUACAUGAAUAAAGAGCAUAAUAAGAAUACAAUGAAAUAAGUCAUGCUUCAAUAAGUUCUAUUUGGAACAAGAUUAUGUAUUUUGCAACUUGAUUGAAAGGUGAAAGAAGAUGUUUUAAGGCAACAUCCUCUACAUCUUAAGAAUCCGUCAAUUUCUUAUAUUUAAUUCUUUCUUAUUUCCUGUGUUUUGACAUGCAGCCUGGAUAUGAGCGUCUCUGCAUGUAAUAUCAAGCAAAAACUCAUACUACAGUAUUUAUGAGUGUGUACAUUGUCAUGUCCCCAAACACCUUAGUAAAGUUGUUCUAAUAGAGUGGGUACAUUAUGGAUUUCAAGGUUGUGCAAGUAGGAGUAAUUGUUUUCCCCUAACUAUAUGUUAUGAAGUCUGAUUUUUUUAUCUUGAAAUACUAUGACUUUGUCGUAUUUCUGAAUUUUCAAGGCAUUAGAAACCUUUGUUUCGCAAUCUAC
rnacentral:lncRNA from 1 species